UGUCGUGAUUGAAUUGAUUGCUAUUGACUGAGUCGUAUACAACCCUGUAAUCGUGAGUAAUGAGUUCAAAAACCAGUUUGAAAUCAUUAACUCUUCAAACGCAGCUUAAGGAAACCAAUGAUUCGCCGGUAAAUAUGAUCAACCGUGAAUUAUCCAUGAGCUGCUUUACACAAGCCUUACGCGUUAAUAUUACCGCCAUGACGCCAUCUUGCAUGUUUGUGCCGGAAGUGCAGCACGGGACGCGGCGGACGCAGUGAAUUGGAGGCUGGAGCGACUGCUGGACGGUGCCAUGGAGGCCACUUUCUCAGAGAGGCGACACCUCAUCGUCAAGAGGAAAAUCCCGAUGGCCACCAUCCGUCGUCGAUGAAAACAAAGUCUGGAAAGAGCUGAGUCGGAUAAAAAAUGCCGACUUGCAGGACACCAACGAGUUGGAACUCUCCCGGGAAGCCAUGACCCCGAUUUUGGCCAAUGGCGAAGGUGAAAGAGCAGCUGGAUGCCUCACAGAUGACGAUGCGAUCGACCAUCUUCUCUGCACCGUGCUAAAGAGCACCAAGUUGUGUUCAUAUCGGCGCCGCAGCCACGGCCUCAUGUGGCGGACGACUUCCACGCCAUAGAGGGCGUGCCAGCAGUGCAGUUUAAGGAGCUAACGGCAAAGGUGAACAAGCUGCUGACGUGGGGGGCCGCGUUCACAGUGUUUGCGCAGUCGUUCAACCGCCCAGCCAUCCGUCUGGCCGGCUACCUGAUGUGUGCCGUGAUCCUGAAGACCGAUGUGUCGCCGCCCCCAAAGCAGUGGCGGCGAUGAGCGGCUGCGUUUAGGAGUGCACGGGAAGGGACAUGAGGCAGCACUUUAGGGACUUUCUGUCUCUUUUUGUGUUUGAGUUUCUGCCGGGUAGUUUUGCAAAGAAAUGGCGUUAACGCUUUUUCAUGCGUGUAGGCCAAGUUCAUGUCUGGAAGGGCAUGAGCGUCGUGCUGUGUUCAUCGCCCUUGUUCAUAUGAUCAAUGAUGUAAUAGUCGUGGUUUAUCUGCAUGCUAUGCAUUGUUUUAAUAAACCUUAUGUUUUAAU